rnacentral:tRNA from 1 species
GGUGCAGUGGCGAAAUGGGAACGCCGCAGUCUGCAAAACUGACGAUGAGCCGGUUCGAUCCCGGCCUGCAUCUCCA